rnacentral:rRNA from 1 species
CAAUAGCGUAUAUUAAAGUUGUUGCAGUUAAAAAGCUCGUAGUUGGAUUUGUGGUUGAUUCUGGUCGCCCGACAUUCGUGUUGGCGUGGACCGGUGUCUCCAUCCUUGGGUGGAAUCUGUGUGGCAUUAGGUUGUCGUGCAGGGGAUGCCCAUCUUUUACUGUGAAAAAAUUAGAGUGUUCAAAGCAGGCUUACGCCGUUGAAUAUGUUAGCAUGGAAUAAUAAGAUAGGACCUCGGUACUAUUUUGUUGGUUUGCGCACUGAGGUAAUGAUUAAUAGGGACAGUUGGGGGUAUUCGUAUUCCAUUGUCAGAGGUGAAAUUCUUGGAUUUUUGGAAGACGAACUACUGCGAAAGCAUUUACCAAGGAUGUUUNCAUUAA